rnacentral:rRNA from 1 species
GUGAGUGAUGAAGGCCUUAGGGUUGUAAAGCUCUUUCCCGGUGAAGAUAAUGACGGUAACCGGAGAAGAAGCCCCGGCUAACUUCGUGCCAGCAGCCGCGGUAAUACGAAGGGGGCUAGCGUUGUUCGGAAUUACUGGGCGUAAAGCGCGUGUAGGUGGUACUGUAAGUAGGGCGUGAAAGCUCCCGGCUCAACUGGGAGAGGCCGUUCUAAACUACAGAACUAGAGGAUGGUAGAGGGAGGUGGAAUUCCAGGUGUAGCGGUGGAAUGCGCAGAUAUCUGGAGGAACACCGGUGGCGAAGGCGGCCUCCUGGACCAUUCCUGACACUCAGACGCGAAAGCUAGGGUAGCAAACGGGAUUAGAGACCCCGGUAGUCCUAGCCCUAAACGAUGUAGACUAGGCGUCGGAAGUUUAAUCACUUUCGGUGUCCAAGCUAACGCGAUAAGUCUACCGCCUGGGGACUACGGCCGCAAGGUUAAAACUCAAAGGAAUUGACGG